AUUGAACGCUGGCAGCAUACCUUACACAUGCAAGUCGAACGGCAGCGCGGACUUCGGUCUGGCGGCGAGUGGCGAACGGGUGAGUAAUGUAUCGGAACGUACCAUUCAGUGGGGGAUAACGCAGCGAAAGUUGCGCUAAUAACGCAUAUUCUGUGCGCAGGAAAGCAGGGGAUCGCAAAACCAUGCGCUGAUUGAGCGGCCGAGAUCAGAUUAGCUCGUUGGUGAGGGAAAGGAUCACCAAGGCGACGAUCUGUAGCGGGUCUGAGAGGAAAGUCCGACACACUGGAACUGAGACCCGGUCCAGACUCCUACGGGAGGCAGCAGUGGGAAAUUUUGGACAAUGGGCGCAAGCCUGAUCCAGCCAUGCCGCGUGAGUGAAGAAGGCCUUCGGGUUGUAGAGCUCUUUCGGCCGGGAAGAAAUCGUAUGGGUUAAUACCCUGUGCGGAUGACGGUACCGGCAUAAGAAGCACCGGCUAACUACGUGCCAGCCGCCGCAGUAAGAC
rnacentral:rRNA from 1 species